UACGUAGGUGGCAAGCGUUAUCCGGAAUUACUGGGCGUAAAGCGCACGCAGGCGGUCUUGUAAGUUUGACGUGAAAGCUCCCGGCUUAACUGGGAGAGGUCGUUGAAGACUGCAAGACUUGAGGAAAUGAGAGGGGUGUAGAAUUCCCGGUGUAGUGGUGGAAUGCGUAGAUAUCGGGGGGAAUACCAGUGGCGAAGGCGACUACCUGGCCUGUUCUUGACGCUGAGGCGCGAAAGCUAGGGGAGCAAACGGG
rnacentral:rRNA from 1 species